AAUCCUCAACCCCCUCCGAUUUGUUUCGGUGGGGAUUGGACUUGGAGCGUGCUGGCGAAGGUCGGCUCCUCUUUAAAUGCAUCAGCGGAGAAAAUGCCUUUUGCGCCUCUGGCCGUUCAGCGUGAUAAUGACGUUGCGCUGCGGUCGAGCUCAAGGUCCGCUUCCAAAGGUCCUCGGACGAACGUAAACAUGAC
rnacentral:misc_RNA from 3 species